rnacentral:lncRNA from 1 species
UCAGAGUUGACCUCUGGGCUUCUGUACCGGUAGGCUGGGCUGUCAGUGGAAAACGGGCUUAAGGGUGGAGAGUCAGUCUCUGUCUACAUCCUCCUGCAGAUGCUCACGAGCUCUAUAAAUCUAGCGACUGCGUGGUCCCCUAGGGCUUGCCCUCAAUUUAGAGAAAGACUAGAGGGCAAUAUUCAGAGAGCAGAGUGCUUAUUCAUUCUGUUUCUCGUCUUCCGGCCCUUUUCCGGAAAGCUACAUCCUACCCACUUGCCCUACGUGUGGGCCUUGAGGGCUUCUGUAGAUUAUCUGGGAAUUUGUAUUAGUAUGUUUAUGAAAACUGGACAAGCUGGAGCAGAUCCAAUCAGAAGGCAGGCGUCUGUAUCUUGACUGUACAUGACUCAAAUGGUUAAUCAAGUUGUAACCCACUGGGAAUUUUUUUCUUUUGGUCAUAAUGCUCAUACUGUGCAAGAAAGCAUUAGAAUUGCAGUCUUGCGGUAGGCCACCAGCUGACUGAAGGAGAUCAACUACAGGGCCUUUGGUUGUAAUAGCUAUGUGUAUUGAGUAACUAAGUAGUUACCUGGGCCAAGGGCCAAGUAUGUAUUUUAUAUGAAUCUUUCAUUUAAGCCUCAUAACACUUUUUUUUUUUUUGGUACUGGGGUUGAACCCAGAGGUGGUGCUUUAUCCCUGAGCUACAUCCCCAGCGCCUACCCCAUCCCUAUUUUUUGAAAAUUUUAAGACAGGGUCUCCCUAAGUUGCUUAGGGCUUUGCUAAAUUGCUGAGGCUGGCCUUGCAACCACCUCCUGCCUCAGCCUCCUGAGUUGCUGGGAUUAUAAGCGUUUGUAACUGGCCCUGGCAAUACAACACUCUUUGAGAUAAGGAUUAUUAUGAUCCCUGAGUCUACUUAAUGCCAAAUGCUCAUUAAUAACUACCAUCUCUCAUACUUUUAUUUUGUUAUAAUAUUUAUUGGUAUGCAACAGAUGGCCCAUUUUUUACUUUUGCCGGAAGUCAGAGAAUUAUCAAACCUGCAGUUUUUAUUUUAAAGAAAUGAAUUGCAUCAUUAUCAUUACCCAGAAACAGGUGUUGCUCAACAAAAU